rnacentral:lncRNA from 1 species
AACUAGACUCAUUAGGCUUUAAUCUCAUUUUUUUCCAACCCUUAACUCAAUUUUCACAAUUUAUGGUGAAUUUUCAAAGUCAAACUACUGCUACUUACCAAAAACUGUUUUAGUACAAAUAUUGUUAACUAGUUCAUAACAUCUUUACUUCAAUUCAUUCAAACUCUAUACAUGCCAUAUAAAUCUUUAAACAUAAAACAAAAACUACCAGAAUUGAUCUAAAUAGUGUGCCCUGUUGUGUUGAUCCGAUUUACCCACUUCACUUCAAGUCAAUCUACAUAAAAAUAUUAAACACACACAAGUAAGCUUAUUGAAGCUUAGUAAGCUCAUAGGCAUAUAAACACAAAUCAUAUCAAAUAUCGUACACAAUCUUAUAUCUAUUAGUUUAACUAUUUCAUCCUCCAAAUCACAAUUUCAUUAAUAACUCAUUGGAAUAAUUUCCAUAUGGCUACUCACAAUUUAACUCCCUUAGGCCCAUUUCUCAUUUACUUCAUUGUCAAUUUAAGGAACAAUAAGGGAAUUGAGUGCUUCAUUAUCACAUUGCCAUAGUAAACUAUGGACUUUCACAUUGUUAUGCAUCACACACCGAAGCCAUAGCCUUGCCAUGGUCUUACACGGUUCACAUAUUGUAACACCCCUUACCCGAGACCGUUGCCGGAAUCGAGUACGAGGCAUUACUUAGCUUAUCUUCCUAAUUCAAUGACCACCAAAAUUGUAACACCCCUUACCCGAGACCGUUGCCGGAAUCGAGUACGAGGCAUUAUUUAGCUUAUCUUACUAAUUCGGGGCAUAAAAAUUCGUUUUAAAAAUUAAUUUCACUGUUUACAGUAAUCUGUCCAAUCGCGCAGCAGUUACUAAAUUGAUUAUAACUCGAGCUACGGAACUCCAAAUUAAAUUUCGUAAAUUUUCCCUGAAACUAGACUCAUAUAUAUACUCACCAUAAAAUUUUUAGAAUUUUUGGUUCAGCAAAUUAGUACAGUUUAUUAGUUAAAGUCUCCCCUGUGUCACCACCAGACUGCCCUGACCUCUAGUCACUAAAAAUAAGUUUUCUCACUAUAGAAUUUUCAUAUGAAGUUCUUACUUGUUUCUAUAGAAAAUAGACUCAUUAAGGAAUCUAAGCAUGUAAAUUUCAACUCAUAACCAUUUUUGUACAAUUUUUAAUUAUUUUCUAAACUCAGAACAGGGGACUCCAAAAACAGUUCUGACCCUAUCUUACUAAAAUUCACAUAUCUUAAAAUAUAAAUUUCUUUUUCUACACCGUUAUUUUUCCAUGAAAAUAGACUCAACAAGCUUUAAUUCCAUAUAUCAUUCACCCUCUAAUUCAUUUUAUACUAUCCUAGGUGAUUUUUCAAAGUUACGUCACUAUUACUGCCUGAAUUCUGUUUCUUUGCAAAAUUUUACCAUUUUAUGACUUUCAUACCUAAUUUAUCACUUAGACUUUUAUAACAAUAAUUAACUUCAUCCUUGACCAUUUAAACAACCAUUCAUCAUCAAAUACUUACACAUCAUUCUAUAGUAAAAUCAUAUUUACAAAUAUACAAAAUUACUAAAUUCCUAUACAUGCCAUAACUAAAAGAAAUGUUCACCACCACAAUUAGCUCAGAAUCGGCUUUGGAUGCUGAUUCAACAAUCCGACUUUGACCUAACCUGCGCACGGAAACAACCGUACGCUGAGUAUGGAAAUACUCAGUGGUAUUACCAUAAUUCGAAUUAAUAACAUUAAUCGAUAAAUUAUAUACAUUUUAUUUAUGUCUACAAUUAUUCAUUAAUUAUCUCAUGCAUUAAAUCAACUUGAUAAUUAAUAACAAUAAGCUAUAAUUCAAAUCUUGUAUUUAAUUGUAUUCAUACCUUAUUUCACUAUCUCAAUUCCAUUGGAUUUUUCUUUACAUCUCAUUCCAAUAGUUCAUUUCAAUUCAUAUACAAUUCAUUUCAUUUAAUUUAUAUUCAAUAUAAAUUUUAUUGCAAUUUGUACUCACUAAUAUCAUAUAACAAAAUUUACUCUUUAUCACAUCAUGAACUUUGGGCUCAUAUCUUUAAAUCUCUUAUUUCGAUUUCCAAUUCACACAUCAAUUCACAACUUCACUUUUUCGUUUCUUCCCAUAGCUCAAUCAAUCACAUUUAUUCAAUUUUCUCAUUUCAAUUAUUUACCCCUAUUAACAAGACUCGGACCUUGGCGGAUACACGGAUCCAACCAAACACACCAAAAUGGCACCCAGUGCCUCAUCGGAUAGUUCGAAGCAAUAGUUGACACCCAGUGUCUCAUCGGCCCAGCCGAAGUAAAGUUGGUACCCAGUACCUCAUCGAAUCUAUCCGAAGAAAUAUAGUGACACCCAGUGUCUCAUCGACUCAAGGUCGAAGUAUCCCUGAACUCUUCCAAUCCUAUGGCAUGCCAACUAUAUCCGACUCAGCCCGACUAGUUAAUAGGGUUUCCGAAUCACAUUUCAAUUCAAUCACUUUCUCAUACUUUCAAUUCAAAUCAUUCCCAUUUAAUCACCAUUUGUUUCAAUACAUUUUUCUAUUUCAAAUUCACUUUCGAUUUAAUCGCAAUUCAACUCAGAUUCACUUCCCACUUUCAAAUCAAUAUACAAUUCAAUACCAAUACAUAUUUCAGAUAUUCACAUAUAAUCAUACUUCGAUUCAAUUCAAACCACUUUUCAAUCAAUACACAAUUCACAUAUUCACAUAUCUCAAUUUAAUAUAUCAUUUAUUCAAUUCAUAUUUUAAUUCAUUCAAUUAAAUAUUGAUAUUCUCCUUAUUUUUAUUUACUAACAUAUUAUUCAAAAUUCAAUAAUUACUGUCAAUAAAUUCAAUAUCAAUACGUAUAUAUAUUAUUCAAUUCAAUUAUGAAACUCACCUCAAUUUGCUUAUCGUGUAUAUUAAUUUAAUUUUCAACGAUUAAUAAUUAAAUUCGAAUUAUAGUAAUACUAACCGUAAUUUCUCUCGAGUCACUCCUUGUCCACUUUCUCCUUUCCUUUCUCGGACAAUGACUCGUACACGACAUUAGCUACGUAAUUAAACAAUUAAAAAUCAUUAAUACACAAUUUCAUUAAAAUAUUUCCUUUUAUACCUAAACUUUACCCAAAUUCUAAUUUAAUCCCUUACCAAUACUAAUUUUAUUUUUCCCAAUCUAACUCUAUAUUCUCUCUUAAUUCUUACUAUAAAGUCAAUUUAAUUCCUCAAUUUCACCAUAAAUCCCUAAUUUCGGGAUUCUUUCAAUUUAAUCCCUAUCGAUUCAAAACUUAUAUUUUAUUUUACAAUUACAUUCUUUACUAACUUCUAACUUGAAAUUAAAUCAAUUUAACCCCUAACUAAACCUAUAUAUUUUUCUUUCUCAAUUCAUAUCCUUAUUCUACCCAAUUUCUUGCUAAACUCAUAUUUAACUAUUUAAUUUUUAUCAUGUUUUCAUAAUUCCGAAUUUAUUUCAAAUUAAUCCCUAAAAUUCAAAACUUAUAGUUUAGUUUACAAUUCAAUCCUUUAUUCAAUUCCAAUCAAAAUUUCUAUCAAAUACAUCCCUAAUUUAACAAUUUAUUCAACAUGAACCAUGCUUAAUAAUCUACUAACUUUCAAAAUUUCAAAAAAAAUAUCAAAAUUAAGAGAAAAGGGGAUUAAAUUGACUUACCAAAUUACUUUGAACCUUAAAACCCCAAAUUUCCCUUUUUCUUUUCUUUUCUUUCUUUCUUUCCUUCCUUCCUUCUCUGUUUCGUUUUGCUCUCUGUUUCUUUCUUUCUCCCUUCUCUGUUUUGUUUUGUUUUGCUCUCUGUUUCUUU